CCCAGCCGCUGAAGCCCCCCAGCCGUUUGGCUGGCCAGCACAACCCCCGGCUGUUCCUGGAAGCCCCUCCCCAAGCACAGGCUCUGUUCGCUGAGCACCAGCAGCCCCUCAAGGGGUCCCAACCCCCCCCCCCCCCAAGAGAAGAAGGGCCUUCACGUUGAGGCCCCAGGAGGACUCGGCUCCACUCCUCCUGCCAAGAGGGCCUGCCCUGCAGAAGAGAUUCGGCCUCUUGACCGCUGCAGCAGGAGCCCACAGAGUAGCAGCAUUUCCAUCCGAGCAAUUCCUAGCCCACGUGGAGCUUUUGGGGGUGGAAGGGGGGGGGUCAUUGGCAGAGGAGGGGGAUGGGAAAAUCUGCUUCCGUAUCCCACCCCCCCCCCCCCCCUUGGAUGGUGUUCUGCUUCUGGCAGCAGCAGCCCCUCCCCCCUACUUGUAGGUCCAGCAGGCGGUGGCCCAGCCCUGUCCCUUGCAGAGCUCCUUGUGCUUCAAGAAGCAGCUCUGGACGCGGAACUUGCGUCCGCAGUCCUGGCAGGUGUGCAGGUUCCCGUCGUGGGUCUUCAUGUGCUCCGUCAGGUGGUGCUUCAGCUUGAACUUCUUGGGGCAGACGGAGCAGCCGAAGGGCCUCAGGCUGAAGGUCAGCAUGAUGUGCCGGUCCCGCUUGGGCUUCACGGCGAAGCGCUUCCCGCACAGGCAGCCGAACUUCUUCCCGUCCGGCGCGGACAUCAGCUUGACGGGCGCGUGCACCACCUGGCCGUGCACGGUGUGGCCCAGGAUCUCGUUGCCGUGCAGGUCCACGGGCUUCCACGAGCUCUCGGGGAAAGCUGCCACGGAGUCGGCGGAAAGAGCCGUGGACGCCCCGCCGGGCAGCGGGAGGUAGCCGAGCGGCUCCCCGGCCUGGAUCUCCGGCUGGCAGAGGCCCGGCACCUCAGUCACGCCGGGGGACUUCAGGAAGCCGGCCUCGGAGAGGCAGGAGGCCGGGCCGCCCCCCAGAGCGGAGGAAGGGGCCUCCUCGGGGUCAAAGCGUUCCUGCUUGAUGAAGAAGACCUUGGGGGCCUCGUGGGGCGAAGCGAAGGCCGGGCCCGGCUCCCUGGACCCUUUGCCAGGACGGGCCCUGCCGCGGCGGUCCUCUUCCUCCGCCACCACCACCUCCUCCUCCUCCUCGUCCAAAACCACCUUCACCAGCCGGUCAGCCGAGCCGCUGGUGCAGAUCUGGGCCUGCCGCUCCUCCUCUUCCUCCUCCUCCUCUUCUUCCUCCUCCUCUUCUUCCUCCUGGGACACCCGGAUCUUCACCACCUCCUCCUCCUCCAGGCGGUGCGGGCGGCGGGCGGACCCUCCUCCUCCUCCUCCGUCCUCCCGGAGGCCCGGGCGGUGGCUGCUGCUGCUGGG
rnacentral:lncRNA from 1 species